rnacentral:rRNA from 1 species
CAAGAUAGUGAUAUGGAGCAAAACCCUAAAAAGACGGUCUCAGUUCGGAUUGAAGGCUGAAAUUCGCCUUCAUGAAGCUGGAAUUGCUAGUAAUGGCAGGUCAGCAUACUGCCGUGAAUACGUUCCCGGGUCUUGUACACACCGCCCGUCACACCAUGGGAGUCAGCAACGCCCGAAGUCAGUGACCUAACCGAGAGGAAGGAGCUGCCGAAGGCGGGGCAGGUAACUGGGGUGAAGUCGUAACAAGGUAAC